rnacentral:rRNA from 1 species
AGAGUUUGAUCCUGGCUCAGGACGAACGCUGGCGGCGUGCCUAACACAUGCAAGUCGAACGAGGUCCAGCGAGUAGCAAUACUCGGGAAGACCUAGUGGCGAACGGGUGAGUAACACGUGAGGAACCUGCCCCGAAGACCGGGAUAACGCUCCGAAAGGAACGCUAAUACCGGAUACCUUCACUGGAUCGCAUGACCCGGUGAAGAAAUGGAUUCCGCUUCGGGAGGGUCUCGCGGCCUAUCAGCUUGUUGGUGGGGUAAUGGCCCACCAAGGCUUCGACGGGUAGCUGGUCUGAGAGGACGAUCAGCCACACUGGGACUGAGACACGGCCCAGACUCCUACGGGAGGCAGCAGUGGGGAAUCUUGCGCAAUGGGCGAAAGCCUGACGCAGCAACGCCGCGUGGGGGAUGAAGGCUCUCGGGUCGUAAACCCCUUUCAGCAGGGACGAUAAUGACGGUACCUGCAGAAGAAGCCCCGGCCAACUACGUGCCAGCAGCCGCGGUAACACGUAGGGGGCAAGCGUUGUCCGGAUUUAUUGGGCGUAAAGAGC